rnacentral:lncRNA from 1 species
GAAAAUGGCGGAUGAGGCCGGGCGCGGUGGCUCACGCCUGUGGUCCCAGCACUUUGGGAGGCCGAGGCGGGCGGAUCACAAGGUCAGGAAAUCGAGACCAUCCUGGCGAACACUGUGAAACCCCGUCUCUUCUAAAAAUACAAAAAAAAAUUAGCCAGGCGUGGUGGCGGGCGCUUGUAGUCCCAGCUACUCAGGAUGCUGAGGCAGGAGAAUGGCGUGAACCCGGGAGGCGCAGCUUGCAGCGAGCCAAGAUGGCGCCGCUGCACUCCAGCCUGGGCAGCAGAGCGAGACUCCAUCUCAAAAAAAAAAAAAAAAAAAAAGAAAAGAAAAGAAACUGGCGGACAAAGGAAGAGAUCCUCCUUCAGGCAGGGUAGGGAAGAAGGGCACUCGGUGACCAGAGACCUUUUCCAGGACCAUGUCUUUGAAGCAAAUCUCAGCUCUUGUCUUCCGGAAGCGAUGGAGACAGAAUCCAGAAGCCUGAGACUCUCUCCUUUCCUGGCUUUGAUGAAGCAAGCUGCCACACUGGAGAGGCCUACAUGAUAAGGACCUGAAGGUGGCCUCCAGCUAGCUCCAGCCAACAGUUGGCAAGGAAUUGAGGACCUGAGUCCAAUAGACCUUGAGGAACUGAAUCCUGCAACAGCUACACAAGUGAGCAUGGCAGUGUAUCCUUCCCCAGUAAAGCCUUCAGAUGAGACCCCAGCCCCAGCUGACACCUUGAUUGAAGCCUUGUGAGAGACCCUGAAGCAGAGAAACCAGCUAGGCCUUGCCUGGAUUCCUGAUCCACAAACUGCUUUUGUGAUGCCCUAUAAUUACAUGAACUCUACUAAAAAGAGGGAUACUGGAAAGAAGAAUAAUGUUGAGACACCUUUGCAGAAGAAAAAACAACUUCCUCUCUUCCUCUACUUCACUCUGGCAAGUUCUCCAACCUGACAAGCCAGUAGGGAGUGCCGGAAUGUCAUGGCUGAGAAAAGAGAUGUUAACAGGCUGUAUGAUGUUGGCCACAGAGUGCCCCCCUAAAGAGGCCUCAGAAGAAUGAAGGCUGAAAGAGGAUUUCUUCUGUGAGAGCCACACUUGAUGUGCUCAGUUAGAAGUCCUCAUCCAGGGCACAGACUCAGAGGUCGACAGUCACAUCUGUGCUCCCUCACAGGGCAAGCAUCCCAGAGACAGAGCUCUGGCUCCAGCCUCUGCUCAGAGACUCUCAGCGUUACUCCCCUGGUCAGCCCAACAAGAAGGAAGGCUUUGUUGAAUGACGGGUGACAUGGGAAUCUGACUCAUGAUCAAAUUUCAGCAGAGACUAUUCUCCUUCAGAGAGCCCAGACUCUCUAAAUAAUCCCACCUGGGACCACAGAAUUACUGUUUGGGAUUUUAUCCUGGAACUCUCCACCACAGCCGGAUAGGUAGUCUAUGAGCUACAGAUGGAAACCUUUGUCCUCCUGAACCCCUACAUCUGCCCAACCUGUUCCACAGAAGAGUGAAGUUCUAUCCUCUCUUCAGACUUCCCAUCUAAGACAUGUCUCUGUACUAACCAAACUUAUUUAGAAAUGUGGGAAUAGGAUUCGGAAACAAAAACAGGGCAUCUCUCUUGGGUGUUCACCCACAGUUCCUUACCUUUUGGGUGUCAUUAUUUUUUUCGGUGGGUGAUGAAUACAGGGUCAAUACCAUGUAGAACAAGUACAGUAUAAACAACCCCAACCCACUCAA